GGCCGCCUGUUGGUCUAGUGGCAUGAUUCUCGCUUUGGGUGCGAGGUCCCGGGUUCGACUCCCGGACAGGCCC
rnacentral:tRNA from 1 species